rnacentral:tRNA from 1 species
GGAGAGGUGGCCGAGUGGUCGAAGGCGCUUGCUUGGAAAGCAAGUGUACGUCUCAAAGCGUACCGUGGGUUCGAAUCCCACUCUCUCCGCCA